GCCGUCAUUACGCUGCGUUCAAAACAACUGGAAAGUCUGUCAGAUAAUGACGACAGUGACCUUCAUUUCGGAAAGUGAUGACGCGAAUGCCGACCGGCUUGUAGGGGCAGACAACGGAUGCAUUUAUUUUAUCUGGAGCAGGAACCAGUGUGUCCAGUGUGCGGGCAUGUUACAGGCGAACCCACAACGGUUUGGUGCAACGUGGCCCAUCCUGUUCUGCUGAACCGGCAACGGGACCUGUCCUGGAUGGUCGCCCGCGAGAUCCUUCCAGUCAGGGCCGUUAUGCACUCCCAGGGCAUGGCGAGGACACCCGAGUGCCCCCGACCAGACUGCGGCCAAGAUGAGUCGGUGAGGCACUUGCUCUGGGAGUGCAGAGCCGCCAGGGACCUGUGGAAGGAAGCAGGCCCCCUGAUCUCCUCGUGUCUGCCAGCAGGGGACGACCUAACGCCCCAGCACGUGCUGUAUGGGGUGGGCCGAAGGCCUAUUCCAGCGAAGGCCUUCCCCAAGCUCUGACCCACCCUCACGUGUCUGAAGGAUGCACUGUGGUCCUCCCGCAACCUGCUGGUAGCAAAAUGAGUAGAGACCAUCCCCCAGGUAGUGGCCAUGGUAGCCACGGAAGCCCUGGGAUGGUACAGAAGAAAGGAGGCCUCGACCCCCAGGCGUAGGGUCCCCCACAACACCCAAGGUCCCGGCAGCCACUGCCUGACAGUGCUGCGGCGCCUAGGGCGAUGCGCCUAGGGGAGGGAUCUCCUCUGGGCCCCGAAGGACAGGACGGUUAUUGAUUCGGAAGAGCAGGAGGAGGCGAGUUGAUAAGGACUCACCCGUUCCUGUACAAAGGACCGAAGACAGCUUUUUAACAAAGACCUGAGCCCUAGGACCAUGCUUCAGGACUACCUGGCUUGAUGACUCCUUGCUGUCCCCAGUUCACCUGGCCGUGCUGCUGCUCCAGUUCCAACUGUUCUGCCUGCAGCUAUGGAACCCUGACCUGUUCACCGGACGUGCUACCUGUCCCAGACCUGAUGUCCCAGACCUGCUGGAACCCUGACCUAUUCACCGGACGUGCUACCUGUCCCAGACCUGCUGUUUUCAACUCUCUAGAGACAGCAGGAGCGGUAGAGAUACUCUCAAAGAUCGGCUAUGAAAUAGCCAACUGACACUUACUCUUGUGUUACUGACUUGUUGCACCCUCGACAACUACUAUGAUUAUUAUUAUUUGACCAUGCUGGUCAUUUAUGAACAUUUGAACAUCUAGGCCAUGUGCUGUUAUUAUCUCCACCCGGCACAGCCAGAAGAGGACUGGCCACCCCUCAUAGCCUGGUUCCUCUCUAGGUUUCUUCCUAGGUUUUGGCCUUUCUAGGGAGUUUUUCCUAGCCACCAUGCUUCUACACCUGCAUUGCUUGCUGUUUGGGGUUUUAGGCUGGGUUUCUGUACAGCACUUUGAGAUAUCAGCUGAUGUAAGAAGGGCUAUAUAAAUACAUUUGAUUUGAUAUUCAAAUGCUGUUUUUAUGCCUUUAUGCCGUUUUUAUGUGUAUAAAUGUUGUACAAAUAUAAUUGAGCUGUUUUUAAAGGAAGUGUAACAAUAAAACUUUUCCAAAAGAAAAAAAAAGAACACAGAUACUGGACAGAGGAACUCUGCCUAGAAGGCCAGCAUCUUCACUGUUGACAUUGAGACUGGUGUUUUGUGGGUACUAUUUAAUGAAGCUGCCAGUUGAGGACUUGUGAGGAGUCUGUUUGUCAAACUAGACACUCUAAUGUACUUGUCCUCUUGAUCAGUUGUGCACCGGGGCCUCCCACUCCUCUUUCUAUUCUGGUUAGAGCCAGUUUUCACUGUUCUGUGAAGGGAGUAGUACAUCGCAUUGUACGAGAUCUUCAGUUUCUUGGCAAUUUCUCGCAUGGAAUAGCCUUCAUUUCUCAACAAGAAUAGACUGACGAGUUUCAGAAGAAAUUUCUUUGUUUCUAGCCAUUUUGAGCCUGUAAUCGAACCCACAAAUGCUGAUGCUCCAGAUACUCAACUAGUCUAAAGAUGGCCAGUUUUAUUGCUUCUUUAAUCAGACAACAGUUUUCAGCUGUGCUAACACAAUUGCAAAAUAGUUUUCUAAUGAUCAAUUAGCCUUUUAAAAUGACAAACUUGGAUUAGCUAACACAACGUGCCAUUGGAACACAGAAGUGAUGGUUGCUGAUAAUGGGCCUCUGUAUGCAUAUGUAAAUAUUCCAUUACAAGUGAAAAAGUAGUCAUUUACAACAUUAACAAUGUGUACACUGUAUUUCUGAUCAAUUUAAUGUUAUUUUAAUGGACAAAAAAUUAGCUUUUCUUUCAAAAACAAGGACAUUUCUAGGUGACCCCAAACUUUUGAACGGUAGUGUACAUGUAGGUAGAGUUAUUAAAGUGGCUAUGCAUAAAUAAUAACAGAGAGUAGCAGCAUCGUAAAAGGAGGGGAGGGAGGCAAUGCAAAUAGUCUGGGUAGCCAUUUGAUUCGAUGUGUCGUAUCUGUGACUAUCAUUAAAUGUGAAGACUGUUAUUUUAUCAAAUCAAUUCUUUAUGUGUAAUUAUUAUUACGUGAUUAAACUAAUCAUGUAAACUUUAAUUAACUAUGAAUUCGGGGCACCACGGGAAAAGGUUUAUAGAGUCUCUAUUUCCCGAAUCGACUCUUCAGAUAUUUUUAUAUCUUUUUCGAUUAGUCUUCAAUUAAUGUAUCAUUAUUACCUCAUCAGUUCUCAUUACUGAAUGUCGCAAAACCUUGGAUAUCUGCACGAAUCCUAGUCUCCAUAAUGAAUCAGCGACCUACAAAUUGGCAUAAUUAUUUAUUUACUAACUUACUAAACAAAUCACAGUAAUACAUAAACAAAUAAUAUAGUUAUUUAUUACGAACACAAUGCAUUGAUAAGUCCCUAGUGGGCUAAACCGGUAUGAUGGCUUGGUAGACAAUGGAAAGGGGUGGGGACAGGAAAAAAGCAGGAAAGACAAAAUGGAUUCACUACACACAGUAUAUCACUGGGGCCAAGCUUCCUGCCAUCCAGGACCUAUAUACUAGUGUCAGAGGAAAGCCCAAAAAAUUGUCAGAAAUUCCAGUCACCGUAGUCAUAGACUGUUUUCUCUGUUACCGCAUGGCAAGUGGUACCGGGGCGCCAAGUCUAGGACCAAAAGGCUCCUUAACAGCUUCUACCCCCAAGCCAUAAGCCUGCUGAACAAUUAAUAAAAUGGCAACCGGACUAUUUACAUUGACACCGCCCCCUCCAUUUGUUUUGUACACUGCUGCUACUCGCUGUUUAUUAUCUAUGCAUAGUCACUUCACCCCUUCCUCCAUGUACAAAUUACCUUGACUAACCUGUACCCCUGUACAUUGACUCGGUACCGGUACCCCCUGUAUAUAGCCUGUAUAUACACUGCUCAAAAAAAUAAAGGGAACACUUAAACAACACAAUGUAACUCCAAGUCAAUCACACUUUUGUGAAAUCAAACUGUCCACUUAGGAAGCAACACUGAUUGACAAUAAAUUUCACAUGCUGUUGUGCAAAUGGAAUAGACAACAGGUGGAAAUUAUAGGCAAUUUGCAAGACACCCC
rnacentral:lncRNA from 1 species